rnacentral:rRNA from 1 species
GCUCUAGGCGGUAUGCCUUGGGUCACAGGAGGCGUAAGUAAGGACGUGACAAGCAACGAAAACCUCGAAUAGGAGCAAAUAUCCAGUAACUCGGGGGAACCUCGAAUGGGGAAACCUACUAGAUACACUCUAGUAUCCAUACGUAAAUACAUAGCGUAUGGGACGCAUCGAAUGUUCUGAACUGAAAACUGUAAGGUACC